rnacentral:rRNA from 1 species
UGGCUCAGAACGAACGUUGGCGGCAUGGAUUAGGCAUGCAAGUCGAGGGAACCUAGCAAUAGGGAACCGGCGUAAGGGGCAGUAAGGCAUGGGCACCUACCCGGCGGUUCGGGAUAGCCACCAGAGAUGGUGGGUAAUACCGGAUGACGUCGUGAGACCAAAGAUUUAUCGCCGUCGGAGGGGCCCAUGUGAUAUUAGCUAGUUGGUGAGGUAACGGCUCACCAAGGCAAAGAUGUCUAGCGGGUGUGAGAGCACGACCCGCGCCACUCGCACUGAGACACUGGCGAGACACCUACGGGUGGCUGCAGUCGAGGAUCUUCGUCAAUGGGGGCAACCCUGAACGAGCGAUGCCGCGUGCGCGAUGAAGGCCUUCGGGUUGUAAAGCGCGAAAGUGGGGAGAAAAGCCGAAAGGUUUGAUCUAUCCACAGUAAGCUCGGGCUAAGUUCGUGCCAGCAGCCGCGGUAAGACGAACCGAGCGAACGUUGUUCGGAAUCACUGGGCUUAAAGGGCGCGUAGGCGGGCUGUCAAGUCUGGGGUGAAAUCCCGCGGCUUAACCGUGGAACUGCCUCAGAUACUGAUGGCCUCGAGGGAGAUAGGGGCGAGCGGAACUAAUGGUGGAGCGGUGAAAUGCGUUGAUAUCAUUAGGAACUCCGGUGGCGAAGGCGGCUCGCUGGGUCUCUUCUGACGCUGAUGCGCGAAAGCUAGGGGAGCAAACGGGAUAGAUACCCCGGUAGUCCUAGCCCUUAACGUUGGGUACUAGGUAGUAGACUAGACAUGGGUUUACUGCCGAAGCAAGAGUGCUAAGUACCCCGCCUGGGGAGUAUGGUCGCAAGGCUGAAACUCAAAGGAAUUGACGGGGGCUCACACAAGCGGUGGAGCAUGUGGCUUAAUUCGAGGCUACGCGAAGAACCUUAUCCUGGACUUGACAUGUGCGAAAGCGCCAGCAGGUAGGACACGGAAACGUGAACGAACGGUAUCCAACCCGGAAGCUGGUACAGGUGCUGCAUGGCUGUCGUCAGCUCGUGUCGUGAGAUGUCGGGUUAAGUCCCAUAACGAGCGAAACCCUUACCUUUAGUUGCUACCGAAAGGGCACUCUAGAGGGACUGCCGGUGUCAAACCGGAGGAAGGUGGGGAUUACGUCAAGUCCUCAUGGCCUUUAUGUCCAGGGCUGCACACGUGCUACAAUGCCGUGGUACAAAGCGACGCGACCACGCGAGUGGAAGCUAAUCGCAAAAAACACGGCCCAGUUCAGAUCGGACGGCUGCAACUCGCCUCCGUGAAGCCGGAAUCGCUAGUAAUCGCGGGUCAGCAACACCGCGGUGAAUGUGUUCCUGAGCCUUGUACACACCGCCCGUCAAGCCACGAAAGAGAGGGACAUCCGAAGCCGCCUUUACCGGCGUCGAAGAUGGACUUCUUGAUUGGGACUAAGUCGUAACAAGGUA